CAUGAAGCUGGAAUCGCUAGUAAUCGCGAAUCAGAAUGUCGCGGUGAAUACGUUCCCGGGUCUUGUACACACCGCCCGUCACACCAUGGGAGUCGGAAAUGCCCGAAGUCAGUGACCCAACCGUAAGGAGGGAGCUGCCGAAGGUGGGGCCGGUAACUGGGGUGAAGUCGUAACAAGGUAAC
rnacentral:rRNA from 1 species